AGAAAAAAUUUAAAAUACUUUGGAAUGGUAUUUAAAAGAAAUAAGUAAUAUAAUUAAAUCCUGCCUACUGGAAACCAUAUAGUUAUGUAAAUCAUCAUAGAAUGGGAACGACUCUAGAAUCGAAGAGCUGAAAGAACGAAAUGAAGAAAGAGAAGUCUAGUUACUUCGUAUCGAUAUAAAUAUUAAAUAAGAAAAAUGUGCUAGAAGCUCAUAAGAGGCUCUUCCAGAUACUUAAGAAAACCUAAGUAAAUGAGUAGGUAAGGAUAAAUUUGGAAUAUAGUCUAAUAUUCAAGUUCAACUAAAAACUAAGUUCUUCUGAGGUAUUUUUAUACGAAAAAUUUUUUCAGAGGAAAGUAUAGUGAUACAAACAACAGUAAAAAAUAGAGUAACUAAAAUCUGCGAAGUGUGGCAAAUUUAUUUAGGUAAGAACUAUUUACCUUCAUGUUAUAAUAGUAAACUAUUAAUAGAAAGAAACCUUACUAUUAAUUUAUAUAAAAUAGUAUUAAUAUUCCAACACUAACGAAUAAGAUACAAAGAAGAUAAGGACAUAAUAAUUAUAAGGAACAUAAGGAAAAAGAAGAACUCUACCACAUGUCCAUUAUAAUUCUUUGUGACACCUCAAGAACUCUACUAUGACUAAUCUUCAAGGUAUAGUUGAGUUUAAAAGAGACAUUCUAUGUCUGCAGCGUGAAGAAGUGAGAUUAAAUAAUUAACCUGGUAUCUGAAAUAAUCAAGUAUAUAGAGUAUGGUUCCCGUUGGGAAAAAAAUACAUACAAAGAAGAAAUUUUUUAAA